GCUUUAUUUCGCCAGGGACAGGUUGGCACCCCUUUCCUUUUCUCCCAUGUUUUAUUCUUGCAAGCAUUCAUUAGCAUGAGUAGAAAGUGCAGUGACUUUCCAUUUUCAGUGUUUUCUGAUGGUAAUUCAACAACAACAACAACAAUUAACCUUAAUCCCAAACUAGUUGGGCCAUCCAGCUUUGUUUGAAUUCAAUUUCGCAUCAAUAUCCAAAAUCAUAAAUCUUUUGAUACUACUUCACUCCAGUCAUUUUAGGUUUUUCUCUUUCCCUUCUUACUCCUCCCACCACCAACUUAUUACACUUUUGU
rnacentral:misc_RNA from 1 species